rnacentral:lncRNA from 1 species
AAACCAAGCAAGAUUUUGCAAACUCAAUUUUGAUUAGUAAAGUAACCCUAUCUCUUUUCCUCCUCCCCUCCUUCCCCGCCUCUCUCUCAGGAACCCAGGGGCAAAUGCUAGACCUUUUCAGAGCUGGAUCAUUAUGAAAAUCAUCUUCAUGGAAUGUUCCAGAGCCAUGCCUCUGACUCUCAAGACAAUAUCUGCAAAGACUCAAAAGGUUGCUCUAGUUAAUAAAAAUAAUUUUUACUUUACUAAUCAAAAUCAAGUUUACAAAAUCCUGGUUCAUUUAAGAUUUGAAAUCUUCAUCUUAAGUUUGAUUUGCUUAAAUGUUAAUUUAGAUUUGUUUAAAUGUCUGCUAAACGGUUAAAUUUUGAGGUGAGAUUAGCAAAUGAGUAAUUAGAAACAGAGACAUUGCCACAUUCUGUUACUAAAUGUUUAACCCACACAGAAUCUUUAAUCUUCCAGAUCCAGCGCCAGGAAGAAAUGGUGCAAACACUGGUACAUCUUACCUGGGAACAGAAAUGCAUGGCUGGAUAUUCUCCAGAUGGUCGAAGCCUCUGUCAGGAAGGGAACUGGUCUAUGCUGACGACAUUUGGGACAAGCUGCAGGUGCAUAAUAUGAAUAUAAGCAGGUGGAUAUCACAGGAAACUCCACAUCCCGACUGUGUCCGCCCGACCCAACAUGGGGCAGAGAGCUCUCGCAAACCCCUCCCAGCUUCCACAUUUAUUUUUAAGGAAGGUCAGCAUGAAAUAUUCUCGGAGAUUUUUAUUAGGCAAAUAAUCGGAUUUUGUCAUACGGAAGGCUUAUUGCGUCGGGGUGAGAAGAUGCCUGACUUACAAGAAUUCAGAACUGAUGCUCACCAGGUGGCGUCACGCUACGUGCCCAUCACCCGGCCAAAACAUCCUGCAACUGAAAAGGAAGAAAACUUGUUACCAGAGGAAUGGCACAGAAAUCACGAUUCUGACCUUUGCGAAUUGUUGAGAGAUCAGCCCUGGCUAAGGAAUGGCAGCCUCUGUGGGUGGCUGUCCACACCUCCUUCCACCCUCUGCCUGGCUGGAACCUGCCCACGGCCCAGGGGCAACCAUGAGGGUCUGGCUCUUGAGGAGAGCGAAGAUCAUCUGGUGACAGCACUCCCUACCCGAGAAAUCCAGAAGCCAUUAGGGAUAUUAUCUAAAGCCGGCGUCUGGUUCCAGGCCUCUUUCCAAAAAUUCAUAAGUAGGAUUUCUCUACGUCUCUGGAAGUCAUGCAUGUGGAAACUCACUUGCAACCCUUGCUGA